rnacentral:snRNA from 1 species
GUGCUCGCUUAGGCAGCACUUGUACUAAAAUUGGAAUGCUGCAGAGAUCAGCUCAGUCUGGGCAAGGGUAACAUGCAAAUUCAAGAAAUUUCCCAUAUUUUU